CAAAACCCUACCUCGUCGAUCCUGGUCCUUCUAUCGUUAAUUACUCUUCCAGCUAUGAGGUUGUUAAUAUCUCAAAAACUAGAAUAUAUCUUAAGAACGUGGAGGCACAACUGUCAGUGGCCUGCAGUGGUAUGGGAUUCGAUAACAAGACAGAGAAUUAUACUAUAGCAAUGGAAUUUUAUCGUAGUCCUUAUACCUGGUCAAACGCGAAUCAGGUCACGUCCCUUGGUUGUGAUGACUUGGCUAUGGUGCGAACAGAUUCAUCCAAUGACUCCGACGGUGGUGUUGCUUGUGCAUCCUACUGUCAAAACUUUUCAGAUCCUGUUGUU
rnacentral:lncRNA from 1 species